rnacentral:rRNA from 1 species
AUUGAACGCUGGCGGCAGGCCUAACACAUGCAAGUCGAGCGAGCGGCGGAAGGGGGAGUAAUGUCUGGGAAACUGCCUGAUGGAGGGGGAGAAAUAAUGGAAAAGGUAGCUAAUACCGCAAACCAUCAGAUUUGCCCAGAUGGGAUUAGCUAGUAGGUGGGGUAACGGCUCACCUAGGCGACGAUCCCUAGCUGGUCUGAGAGGAUGACCAGCCACACUGGAACUGAGACACGGUCCAGACUCCUACGGGAGGCAGCAGUGGGGAAUAUUGCACAAUGGGCGCAAGCCUGAUGCAGCCAUGCCGCGUGUGUGAAGAAGGCCUUCGGGUUGUAAAGCACUUUCAGCGGGGAGGCGUUACCCGCAGAAGAAGCACCGGCUAACUCCGUGCCAGCAGCCGCGGUAAUAC